rnacentral:rRNA from 1 species
UACGUAGGGCGCGAGCGUUGUCCGGAAUUAUUGGGCGUAAAGAGCUCGUAGGUGGCUUGUCGCGUCUGCCGUGAAAGCCCGUGGCUUAACUACGGGUCUGCGGUGGAUACGGGCAGGCUAGAGGCUGGUAGGGGCAAGCGGAAUUCCUGGUGUAGCGGUGAAAUGCGCAGAUAUCAGGAGGAACACCGGUGGCGAAGGCGGCUUGCUGGGCCAGUUCUGACGCUGAGGAGCGAAAGCGUGGGGAGCGAACAGGAUUAGAUACCCUGGUAGUCCACGCUGUAAACGUUGGGCGCUAGGUGUGGGGGUCUUCCACGAUUCCUGUGCCGUAGCUAACGCAUUAAGCGCCCCGCCUGGGGAGUACGGCCGCAAGGCUAAA